CGCUGGCGGCGUGCUUAACACAUGCAAGUGGAGCGACGAACCGGGGCUUGCCCCGGGGCAGAGCCGCGAACGGGUGAGUAACACGUGGGUAACCUGCCUCAAUGAUUGGGACAACCCGGGGAAACUCGGGCUAAUACCAAAUGUGUUCACUCCUUCUAAGGGGAGUGAGGAAAGGAAGCUUCGGCCUCCGCAUUGAGAUGGGCCCGCGGCCCAUUAGCUUGUUGGUGAGGUAACGGCUCACCAAGGCUUCGAUGGGUAGCUGGUCUGAGAGGACGAUCAGCCACACUGGGACUGAGACACGGCCCAGACUCCUACGGGAGGCAGCAGUGGGGAAUCUUGCACAAUGCGCGAAAGCGUGAUGCAGCAACGCCGCGUGGGGAAGACGGCCUUCGGGUUGUAAACCCCUUUCAGUUGGGACGAAGCUUCGUCGGUGAAUAGCCGGUUGGAGUGACGGUACCUUCAGAAGAAGCCCCGGCUAACUACGUG
rnacentral:rRNA from 1 species